UCUUCAUGUCUCUGGGACUUUAUAAAGCCCUCCAGCAGCAGCUGUCCUGUGCAACAUGGACAUCUUCAUCAUCAUCAUCAAACAAUGUUUCCUGAGUUUAUUAGCAGUGUUAAUGUGGAGUCCAGGUUUUACUGGUGGAAGUGAUGUGAACCAGACCUCCAUACUGUGGAAAAAGCAGGGCAACAAUGCCACCAUGGACUGCAGACACACCAAGGGAAGCAGCUAUUACCAGAUGUACUGGUUCAGACAGCUGCCAGGAGAAAACAUGGAACGCAUCGUGUUCACAACAACAGGCAGCAAAGAUCACGACUUCGGACCGUUCAGCACGGAUAAAUUUGCAGCCACCAAGACGGUAGCUGAGAGCGGAACGUUCACGGUGAAGAACGUGCAGCCAGGAGAUCAAGGCUUGUAUUUCUGUGCUGUGAGUGCACAGUGA